rnacentral:rRNA from 1 species
AGCUAAUACCGGAUAACAUAUUGAACCGCAUGGUUCAAUAGUGAAAGGCGGCUUUGCUGUCACUUAUAGAUGGAUCCGCGCCGUAUUAGCUAGUUGGUAAGGUAACGGCUUACCAAGGCAACGAUACGUAGCCGACCUGAGAGGGUGAUCGGCCACACUGGAACUGAGACACGGUCCAGACUCCUACGGGAGGCAGCAGUAGGGAAUCUUCCGCAAUGGGCGAAAGCCUGACGGAGCAACGCCGCGUGAGUGAUGAAGGUCUUCGGAUCGUAAAACUCUGUUAUCAGGGAAGAACAAAUGUGUAAGUAACUGUGCACAUCUUGACGGUACCUGAUCAGAAAGCCACGGCUAACUACGUGCCAGCAGCCGCGGUAAUACGUAGGUGGCAAGCGUUAUCCGGAAUUAUUGGGCGUAAAGCGCGCGUAGGCGGUUUUUUAAGUCUGAUGUGAAAGCCCACGGCUCAACCGUGGAGGGUCAUUGGAAACUGGAAAACUUGAGUGCAGAAGAGGAAAGUGGAAUUCCAUGUGUAGCGGUGAAAUGCGCAGAGAUAUGGAGGAACACCAGUGGCGAAGGCGACUUUCUGGUCUGUAACUGACGCUGAUGUGCG